rnacentral:rRNA from 1 species
UACAGAGGGGGCAAGCGUUGUUCGGAAUUACUGGGCGUAAAGGGCGCGUAGGCGGCCUGCUAAGUCGAACGUGAAAUCCCCGGGCUCAACCCGGGAACUGCGUCCGAUACUGGUGGGCUUGAAUCCGGGAGAGGGAUGCGGAAUUCCAGGUGUAGCGGUGAAAUGCGUAGAUAUCGGAAGGAACAUCAGUGGCGAAAGCGGCUGCCUGGCCAAAUACUGACGCUCAUGUGCGAAAGCGUGGGGAGCAAACAGG